GACGAACGCUGGCGGCGUGCUUAACACAUGCAAGUCGAACGGAAAGGCCCUGCUCUUGUGGGGUGCUCGAGUGGCGAACGGGUGAGUAACACGUGAGUAACCUGCCCCUGACUUUGGGAUAACUUCAGGAAACUGGGGCUAAUAUCGGAUAGGAGCUCCUGCUGCACGGUGGGGGUUGGAAAGUUUCGGCGGUUGGGGAUGGACUCGCGGCUUAUCAGCUUGUUGGUGGGGUAGUGGCUUACCAAGGCUUUGACGGGUAGCCGGCCUGGGAGGGUGACCGGCCACAUUGGGACUGAGAUACGGCCCAGACUCCUACGGGAGGCAGCAGUGGGGAAUAUUGCACAAUGGGCGGAAGCCUGAUGCAGCAACGCCGCGUGCGGGAUGACGGCCUUCGGGUUGUAAACCGCUUUCGCCUGUGACGAAGCGUGAGUGACGGUAAUGGGUAAAGAAGCACCGGCUAACUACGUG
rnacentral:rRNA from 1 species